rnacentral:lncRNA from 1 species
AAAACACAGACACAACAUAUCGGAAUCUAUGGGACACAAUGAAAGCAGUUCUAAGAGGAAAAUUCAUUGCUUGGAGUUCAUUCCUUAAAAAAAAAACCAAACAAAUUAAUGAUCUCACACUCACUCCAGUAAGAUUGGCAGCCAUUAUGAAGUCAAACAACAACAAGUGCUGGCGAGGAUGUGGGGAAAAGGGUACACUUGUACAUUGCUGGUGGGACUGCAAUUUGGUGUGGCCAAUUUGGAAAGCAGUAUGGAG